rnacentral:tRNA from 1 species
GCGCCCAACAGCGAAGUGGUCUUCGUACCGGGCUUCAAACCCGGCGAGGGUCUGGGGUUCGAUUCCCCUUGGGCGCC